rnacentral:siRNA from 1 species
UGAUAUCUCAUGCUAGUGAACGUC